ACACCUCAACUCUUCAUGGUUUUCCAUGAUGAGCUUGGACUUUGGGGGUCUUGCUGGCCUGCGGUCGGCUCCUCUCAAACAAAUCAGCUUGCCAGUGUUUGGUGGGCAUCACAGGUGUGAUAACUAUCUACGCUUGUGGUCUUCCACCAGGUAACCUUCAGCAGUGGAGGUUCGCUGGAGCUCACAGAUGUCUCUCCUCAGUGAGGACACAUUUUGACC
rnacentral:misc_RNA from 1 species